rnacentral:rRNA from 1 species
CCCUUAGACGUUCUGGGCCGCACGCGCGCUACACUGACCAGUGCAACAAGCAUCCGUCCUUGGCCGACAGGCUCGGGCAAUCUUUGAACGCUGGUCGUGAUGGGGAUAGACUUUUGCAAUUUUUGGUCUUCAACGAGGAAUUCCUAGUAAACGCAAGUCAUCAACUUGCAUUGAUUACGUCCCUGCCCUUUGUACACACCGCCCGUCGCACCUACCGAUUGAAUGGUCCGGUGAAAUCUCGGGACGGCGGCUUGGUCGCUUGCGUCCGACUGCUGAAACUUGAUUAAACCAUAUCAUUUAGAGGAAGGUGAANUCGUAACA